UUAAAAAAUACAGAUUUUAAACUUUAAAUGACGAUAUAUACACGGAAACAAACUAAUUCUGUUUCAAUUUUUACACCGAUGUAAAGUUCAGUUUUAUAACUACUUUGUGUUGUAAAUUCAAGUAUUUCUGAUUUACGGUCGCGAAGCCGUACCCCCAAUAAACAUAUAACCCUCGAGUCGACUUUCAGCCCCGAGUAAGUUGCUCGCCGAACGGUUUUAAAGGUUGACGACCGAUGAUGCUAAACGGAUUUUACCCUUGCUAGAGCCUUCAAACAAGUUCUGGAGACAUUUACAGUGGCCUAUCCAGAACUUUCCUUACAAGGGAAAGGAAGAAGGCCAUGACCCCACUCCCCCUUACAAUUCCCAAAACAUAUUACUUACUCUUGAUGCUCCACAAGAUCAAGGUUGAGGGAAACAAGACGUACACAGAUGUGGAGUUGUAGUUUUAAAAACUGUUCCCCCAAAGCAGUUAUCAACCGUAUAGGUUUGAAAAGAAACCAAAGCAUGUGGCAUCAACUGCUGCAUCACUUGUAGG